AGUCCUGGUAAGGAUCAUUUUGUACCCUUGAACACAAGUUCCUGAGAAAUGUAGUUGUUACGGAGAGAAUAAUUUGCUUCUGAACUGUCAAGUCUUUGUUUUGUCAUGAUUUCAGAUUAAUAGGCCAUGUAAUCUGGAGUUAACUACACAAGAAAACUUGCAGCAAUCUGGAGUCCAUUGCGUUCUGUUUUUGCAAUCACCUUCGAGGUGACUGUGAUCCUUCGGCUGUUCCGAUUCGUCAAUUCUAAGCAGGGGAUUUCUUGGGCGAUUCGGUCCAGGCAGGGUGGUGGUCUUUUAGAGAUUCGGUGCUGCUAAUCGCGACGGUCUGCUCUCUGGCUAAGGUUUGGUGGAUGGAUCCCUAUGACGGGCAGAGACGAGAAGUAGGUCGCUAUGCUCUAUGGGGCGGUGGUGUGGGAUCCGUUGCUUAUCGUUUCCCACAGUGUCCGCCUGCGCUGCUUCUAAUGCUCGACUCUUGGACUGCUCAUGACCAUUAUGGUCGGCACACGGGAUGAGCUUCAGCCACUUUAAUUUCUCCACCUUCGCUGCCGCUACCAUCAACGGUUGGUGCGCAAUUGCUCCUUUCUUCUCAGUUGUCUUCCCUGUUUCCUUUAUCUUCUUGAGGAAUGUUGAUGUGGCUGCAGAAGAACCAAAUAUCCUUAGAGCUACAAUGAUAAAGAUUUGACUGCUUCAACCUGCAUAUCUAUACGUGUAAUAAUUUCGUGGAAUGCUGUCAUCAUUGGCAGAUCCAAGUGCUUUAUGCAGUUUCCAUGUUCUAUGUAAAUCCAAAGGGCCAGAAAGUGCUUGGACUUUGCAGUAAUCAUCUACAUCAUCCAUCUUUUUAUAUGCAUCAUAUAUGGGAGUUGGCCAUCCUCGCUUGGUGAGUGAUUGUGUAUAUUUGUUUGUAAUUGCCAGAAAUACCUAUUUACAUGGCUUCAUCCAAGUAAGCAAGUUUGUGUUGAAUUGCUUUUUCUACUUAAUACAU